AGGACGAACGCUUGCGACGUGCCUAAGAAAUGCAAGUCGAACGGGGUCAUCCUUCGGGGUGGCCUAGUGGCGAACGGUCGCGUAACACGUGGGCAACCUGCCCUGAAGCGGGGGACAACACACCGAAAGGUGUGCUAAUACCGCAUGUGAAUCGUGGUGGCAUCACCGAGGAUUCAAAGCCGCAAGGCACUUCAGGAUGGGCCCGCGGCCUAUCAGCUAGUUGGUGAGGUAACGGCCCACCAAGGCUUCGACGGGUAGCUGGUCUGAGAGGACGAUCAGCCGGAUUGGGACUGAGAUACGGCCCAGACUCCUACGGGGGCAGCAAUUAGGAAUCUUGCGCAAUGGGCGAAAGCCUGACGCAGCGACGUCGCGUGAAGGAUGAAUCUUUCGGAUGUAAACUUCUUUUUACGGGAAGAACAAUGACGGUACCGAAGAAUAAGCCCGGCUAACUACGCGCCAGCAGCCGC
rnacentral:rRNA from 1 species